ACCUGCACCCGGGAGGAAAGGCGAGGCUCUGCAUCUAGAUUUACCUCGUUCUCUUUUGUCUCCGCUUUUUUUUCACAUUUCCUUGCGACCCUGGCCCUUGAGCGACAAAAAGGGGAAGCCAAGGCUGGCCCGAGGAACGGAGAGGGCACAUGGCCUAGCCACAAGUGGAGCUUCUGCUCCGCCCGAAGGGAUGCGCUGGAGCGGCCUCUUCCUUCUGCCACGGUCUUUCUUUGCCAACUAGUAGUAGAGAUGGGGUUUCACCAGGUUAGCCAGGCUGGUCUUGAACUCCAGACCUCAAGGGAUCCGCCUGCCUCAGCUUUCCAAAGUGCUGGGAUUACAGGUGGAGACUGGACCUCAGAAGAGGGAGUGGGUGCCCCGAGAACUCACAGCUAGCGGACAGUGGAAAGGGCAGGAGCCGGACCAAGGUGAGGACAGUGGAACUGAAGGCCGCUGGUUACCUCUCCUGCCCUCCGCUGGCCACAGUGGAGAAGACAGCCCCUCCCUCCUGCUCUGACCUGACAGUGUUCAUCCAUCGCCCUGUAUUAGCGAAGAACAACAUCAAGCUGGCUAGCAAGGAACUGUAUACAGGGUCCAGCUGGGUAUCACACUGGAUCUCACCCAAAGCUUAGAUGUGAUCCAGCUCAGUAUCACAAAGCAGAACGAAAAGGAUGUGUUUGGGCUGAGAGGCCAUACAUUGGCUCCGGCAUGACGGGUGACUUCUUCCGAGUCUGGCUUCUGCAGCACACAGGGCUUCGCCAGCACCCAGCUCCUGCAGCAUGGGCAGCUCCUGUGACAGCAGGCGCCCGCAGCCUGCAAAGCGUCUCCAGUGCCGCCGCCUCAGUGAACCUCAACCAGCGGCACCUAGCAGCUUUCUCUGCCACCCUCUUCAGGUAGUUCUGUAGCAGCGCGUUUCUCAUGAGACACUUCCCUGUCUGGAUCUAAGCCCAGGGACCAGGAAACCUCUUGCUUGAGUGCUGGAACUCAGGCCAGAAGGCAGGAAGCCCGCCUGACCCCAUGUCUCAGGCUGCCAGAGGAGCGUGCGAUGAGGAAGGCUGGACUGUCUUCACAGGACACCAGGGAGAAGCCUCAAGCCACUGCCCCCUGACAAGUCGCAGCUCUCCAGCCUGUCUCCUCACUCCCCUCCCCUCCACAUGGGGGGGUUGGGGUGGGGGCGGGGAAGGUUCGGGGCAGGGGUCAUUUCAGCUACUGGGCACCAGUCUCCUCCUCAUGUUUAUCCUGUUCCCUUUGCUUGAAAGGUUCGUACUCCAGAUCCUUGUAAAACCGCUUCUCACCCUUUGAGUCUCAGCUUAAAUGUCCCCUCCUUGGAGGGGUCUUCCCUGACAAUGAAGCUCCGACCGUCCUCUCCUGUUUUACCCAGUUCAUUUCUUUCUGGCAUUUGUAACUACUUGAAGUUAAA
rnacentral:lncRNA from 1 species